UUUUGUGAAUUUCAAUAUGUAAAAUUGUAUCUUUUCUUGGCAUUUUGGAUGACUUAUAACAUUGCUUGCAAAGUAUGGGAAAUGAAAAACUCAUACACUUUGAUAUUGACAAAACUGGAAUAGGGCACAGUUGGUUUGACCGUGGAUCAAAACCACAUAUUUAAUAUUUAAAAUUUUGAGUUAUCUUUCCCACAAAAGCAUCUAAUAAAUCUAUUUCUGUGUGGCUGAAGCCUUGCUUCUUGCAGCAUGUCUAUAAUUUAUUUUUUAAAGAACUGUACAUCCACUCUUUCCAGGCCCACUUUCCACUUCUUCAUCAUCUAGAUCAUUCCUUUUCCUUUAAUUCUUUAAUUUCUCCAAUUCUUUAUUCUGUACAUCCACUCUUCCCAGACCCACGUUCCACUUCUACUUCAUCUAGAUUUUUCCUUUUCCUUUCAUUCUUUUAUUUUGUUACCUUCUUCCAUCUUUCAACACAUC
rnacentral:lncRNA from 1 species